rnacentral:rRNA from 1 species
GAGAUUCCCCCAGUAGCGGCGAGCGAACGGGGAGCAGCCCAGAGUCUGAAUCAGCUUGUGUGUUAGUGGAACGGUCUGGAAAGUCCGACGGUACAGGGUGAUAGUCCCGUACACCAAAAUGCACAGGUUGUGAACUCGAAGAGUAGGGCGGGACACGUGGUAUCCUGUCUGAAUAUGGGGGGACCAUCCUCCAAGGCUAAAUACUCCUGACUGACCGAUAGUGAACCAGUACCGUGAGGGAAAGGCGAAAAG